AGCUGGGGCAGCUUGAGCAGCACUGGAGAGAAAAGCUGAAAAGAGUGAUGGAGGAGAGGAGCGAGCACGAGCAGUGUGUGAAGAAGGAGAUCCAGGCUCUGCUCCUUAAGCUGUUCAAGACUGAGCAGCUGCACCAGACCCAGAUAUGUGACUAUGAGGUCAAGUACAGGGACUCACUAAAACUGGUGUCUGAGCUGCAUUGUCAAAUCGAGGAGCGUGAGGUGAGAGGCUGAAAUGGAGGUCGGCAGGAAGAUCCGCUAUUAAAAAUAAAAUAAAUCAAAUAAUAUUACG